UGUUAGUCAUAUCACGAUAUAUAUCUAUGAACCCGGUCAGGUCUGGAAAGAAGCAUCCGUAAUAGAAUAAUAUAUAUGCUGAAAUCUGACUAACAGAU
rnacentral:SRP_RNA from 1 species